rnacentral:rRNA from 1 species
GAUGAACGCUGGCGGCGUGCCUAAUACAUGCAAGUCGAGCGGGUGAAGCCGACAGAUCCCUUCGGGGUGACGUUGGUGGAUCCAGCGGCGAACGGGUGAGGAACACGUGGGCAACCUGCCCGCAAGACCGGGAUAACUCCGGGAAACCGGAGCUAAUACCGGAUAGGACCUCAGCCCGCAUGGGAUGGGGUGGAAAGGCGGCUUCGGCUGUCACUUGCGGAUGGGCCCGCGGCGCAUUAGCUAGUUGGUGAGGUAACAGCUCACCAAGGCGACGAGGCGAAGCGGACCGGGGAGGGUGACCGGCCACACUGGGACUGAGGCACGGCCCAGACUCCUACGGGAGGAAGCAGUAGGGAAUUUUCCGCAAUGGGCGAAAGCCUGACGGAGCAACGCCGCGUGAGCGAAGGCGGCCUUCGGGUUGUAAAGCUCUGUUCUCCGGGAAGAACGACGGAAGGGCGAAUAGCUCUUUCGGGUGACGGUACCGGAGGAGAAAGCCCCGGCUAACUACGUGCCAGCAGCCGCCGUAAAAC